rnacentral:misc_RNA from 1 species
UUAAGUUCAGCGGGUAUCCCUACCUGAUCCGAGGUCAAAAUGGGGGGUUGCUUAGUGGACGCUGGUCCGCCAAAGCCGCUAAGCGCAUCAGUGCUACGCUACGGGCCGGCAAACUGCUGCCAAUACAUUUAGGGCGAGUCCGCGCACAAAGCGGGACAGACGCCCAACACCAAGCAGAGCUUGAGGGUGUAAUGACGCUC